GACGAACGCUGGCGGCGUGCUUCAUACAUGCAAGUCGAACGAGAAGUCACCUUCGGGUGAUGGAAAGUGGCGGACGGGUGAGUAAUGUGUAGAGAAUCUGCCCUUGAGUGGGGGACGAACAGUUGGAAACGACUGCUAAUACCCCACUAUGAGCUUAGCUGAAAUAGCUAAUCUUGAAAACUACCGGUGCUCAAGGAUGAGUCUGCAUCUGAUUAGCUAGUUGGCGGUGUAAUGGACCACCAAGGCUACGAUCAGUAGCUGGUUUUGAGAGGAUGAUCAGCCACAAUGGGACUGAGACACGGCCCAUACUCCUACGGGAGGCAGCAGUAGGGAAUUUUGUCACAAUGGGGGAAACCCGUGAUGCAGCGACGCCGCGUGGAGGAAGGAAGGUCUUCGGAUUGU
rnacentral:rRNA from 1 species